rnacentral:rRNA from 1 species
UACGAAGGGGGCUAGCGUUGCUCGGAAUCACUGGGCGUAAAGGGUGCGUAGGCGGGUCUUUAAGUCAGAGGUGAAAUCCUGGAGCUCAACUCCAGAACUGCCUUUGAUACUGAAAGUCUUGAGUAUGGGAGAGGUGAGUGGAACUUCGAGUGUAGAGGUGAAAUUCGUAGAUAUUCGCAAGAACACCAGUGGCGAAGGCGGCUCACUGGCCCAUUACUGACGCUGAGGCACGAAAGCGUGGGGAGCAAACAGG